rnacentral:rRNA from 1 species
GACGGAGGGGGCAAGCGUUGUCCGGAAUUACUGGGCGUAAAGCGCUCGUAGGCGGUCGCGUACGGCGGUGGUGAAAGCUCCCGGCUCAACUGGGAGAGGCCCGCCGCAACGGCGUGACUCGAGGGUGGUAGAGGCAGAUGGAAUUCCAGGUGUAGCGGUGAAAUGCGUAGAGAUCUGGAGGAACACCCGUGGCGAAGGCGAUCUGCUGGGCCAUGCCUGACGCUGAGGAGCGAAAGCCAGGGGAGCGAACGGG